rnacentral:antisense_RNA from 1 species
AGAGCUUCCAGACAGCCGAACAUAUGGAUGCUCCUGGAAGGUAGAGUGCCCAGGAAGGACAUGGAGACUCUCUACUCCUUCCCCCAUACUUUGCCCUACACAUCUCUUCAUUGGCACGGUGGCUCAAGCCUAUAAUCGCAGCACUUUGGGAGACCAAAGCAGAUGAAUCACCUGAGGUCAAGAGUUCAAGACCAGCCUGGCCAACACGAAAGAAGCUCUCACAGUGGAAGACUAUAAUAUGACAUAAGAAGAAAUGUGGACUUGGAGACACAGAAG